AGCAGCCGCGGUAAUUCCAGCUCCAAUAGCGUAUAUUAAAGUUGUUGCAGUUAAAAAGCUCGUAGUUGAAUUUCGGGGUUAGUAGAUUGGUCAUGCCUCUGGUAUGUACUGGUCUCACUGAUUCCUCCUUCCUGAUGAACCUUAAUGCCAUUAAUUUGGUGUUUUGGGGAAUUUGGACUGUUACUUUGAAAGAAUUAGAGUGUUUAAAGCAAGCUAACGCUUGAAUACAUUAGCAUGGAAUAAUGAAAUAGGACGUUCGAUCCUAUUUUGUUGGUUUCUAGGAUUGACGUAAUGAUUAAUAGGGAUAGUUGGGGGCAUUAGUAUUCAAUUGUCAGAGGUGAAAUUCUUGGAUUUAUUGAAGACUAACUACUGCGAAAGCAUUUGCCAAGGAUGUUUUCAUUAAUCAAGAACGAAAGUUAGGGGAUCGAAGACGAUCAGAUACCGUCGUAGUCUUAACCAUAAACUAUGCCGACUAGGGAUCGGAUGAUGUUAAUUUUUUAAUGACUCA
rnacentral:rRNA from 1 species